UAAAUGUAGUCAUGCUUUAUUAUUACUAGGGGCCUUCAGGAUUAGUGAGCAUAGCCUGAAAGAGCCAUCUAACUGAAAGGAAAACAGUUCCCAUCCACAUAUGUGUCUGUGCUUUGUAAUCUUCACUUUAAAAAAAAAAAAACCCACUGAAAGGCAGUGUACAGCUCUUUGUUAACUCUAUUGUACACACAAAUUAAAUUCCUAAAAUCUCUUGGCUCAUUAUCUAAAGACUAGACUCUAGAAUAUUAGGUUUACAAUGACUGUGUAAUUUACUAGAUUUGUACAUUUCACUAGACAAUUUAGUUAAUAGCAGUUGUCAUUACACAUUAGUUUACAAAAUUACUGGACAUGAAGCAAACCUGUAUGCUGAACAGCAUUAUCUCUUUAUUUAAGGAGUUGUUAGAUUGCUUGUAAAGAAUGAAAGCUACAAGAGUUUCAAAUGUUAAGUGAACAGUUUCAGGUCAUGAGUAAUUUAAUUUGAGGAUGAUUAAAUAUCAGGUCAACCUGAUUUGCAAUGUAACUUGAUUUUUAAAGAUUAAAAAGAGAAGAAGUAGAAGGGUAGCAUUUUACAUGAAAGGUACCUACAAUGCCAGUGACAUACAAUCAGACAAUCAAGAGUGGUUAUGAAAUUCUUUGCAUAAGGACAAAAGGAAUGAAAAAUGAAGACGAAGCCACUCUGAGCAUCAGCUACAGACCACCUGGACCGGAGAAGGACAAAAAUGAAAAAUUCCAAGACCAGAUUUCAUAGGGCCAGAUUUACUAGUGUUUUUUUUAAACAGAGGUGAGGGAGGAAAAAUCUUGGAUGCCCCCAACCACUUGGUGCCCUAGGCGACCGCCUAGUUCGCCUAGUGGUUGCACGGGCCCUGCACUGAGCAUUUGGUCAAUAAAUGCAGCCAUGCUUCCUACAUCAUGAGUCUUCCUGAGGUAUUUGAAACCAUGGGAAACCAUUCUCAUGAGGGACUUUAUCUAGCCAUCUGUUUCAUAAGAAAUAGAUCCAAACUUGCAUAACAAAGAUGUUCCAAACAUUGCCAGGUAUCUUAUAAUCAGCUCUUGUGCUUGGACACCUACCAGACAAAUCGUACUUGGACCUGAAUCCUAUCAUCAAAUCCAUGGUGUAGGUAUCUGGUAAAGUGCUGAAACCUGGAACUUAGAAUCCAUAGAAUUAUGCUAUAGACAAAAUAUUUUAUGCUGAAUCUGGAUCUGUACCAUAUUAGGGCCAAAUGAUUACUGGAAGGGGACGGGAAGCUGAGCAACAGAGACACUGAACUGUGCUCCUAUGUAUUCAAAGGCUGAACACGUAAUAAAGUAAACAAAUUAUUUGGUCUAGUUAAAACCAAUAAAACUGGGAGAAAUCAGAAAAACUUAAGAAAGGGGGCAUUUUGGCUAAAUAUGAAGAGUUUUUUUGUGACAGUGAAACUAUGGGUAUGACACUCUGCAAUGUAAGUCCAGGCCCGGAUGCAGGCUUGAGCCCAAACCCUCUUUUGUCUACACACAAAUCUCUCGGGCUCAGACCCAGGUCCUAGGACCCUGCAGGGGUGGAGGGUUUGAGCCUAAGCCAAGCCAAGACCCAGGAUUUAAGCUCUAUUGCUUUACUGUGUAGAUGCAGCCUCCUCUGACUUGGUCCUGGGAGUCUGCCAAAAGUAUCCCACAGUUCCAUGCGACAACUUCCUUUGUCCUCUCUGUCCUUAGCAUCUCCAAUCCACUCAAGGGAAACAGACACAAUCCCCAUUGGUGUAAUGCAGCAGCUUGGUAAGUCAGUGUUUAACCCUUCCAUUGUCUUUCCAAUGCCAAGCUACAAACACACCAUGAGAGAGCCUUCUGGGUUUCCAAUGAAGGCUGAACAGAAGAAGACUUUUGCAAAUCAUGCUGCUUCAUGGUCAUGGGAGCACAGCCAGAUUUGGAUAAAACUCUGGUACAAAGCCAGCAAAACCGUGGACUUUAGUCAGAGUACUUGGAAUGACCAUGCAUACUAGCAAAUAGCAAAGAAACUGGCAGCAUUCCAAAUUUACUAGCUUAGUGACCAGUGCAGGGAGCAGAUUAAUCAUCUCAAACCAGAAGUGCACCUUGGGCAACUCACUGGCAUCAUGCCCAUUUUAUGAGGAGUUUGACUGGAAACAGUGAACUGUGGGGAGGGGAAGUAGAAAUGUUUUCCAUUUACUAAUCUAAUCCAUGUCAGUUAGAAGUAGUCCAUGCCAUUCAUAGGUGACAAAACUCUUUGUGUCAGAUUUGACUGGAGUUUGAAAUUUUGUCCAGAAAUGUGGCGGGGGGGAUGGAGGAUGGCUGUGGAGUUCUAUGUGUUUAUGUGCAGCCAUAACAGGCUAAACCAUGUGGAAGAUAAGAAAUCAUCCUAUUGAUUCAUGAAUUCUGACCCAGUUCCAGGUGCUGAUACACCUCUACCCCGAUAUAACGCGACCCGAUAUAACACGAAUUUGGAUAUAACGCAGUAAAGCAGCGUUCCGGCGGAUCAAAGCAAGUUCUAUAUAACGUGGUUUCACCUAUAACGUGACACCACUAAAGAGCUGCAGCCAGUUUAAUGAAAUCUACAACAAAGAAGGAAGCAUUGAGGCAUAGUGCAAGAGCCAGAAAAUGUGGAACUAAGGGAUCUAUUUCAUUUCAUGGAGGAGUAUCCACAGAUCAAGAGGCAUUUACUACAAUGACACUGCUUAUUUAGCAAAAUCAUGGAUUGUCUUUGUAAUUAUUAGAUGGAGCUUAAAGACACAUUGCACAUAUAUUUCAAAAUGCAUGCAACGAUGCUGGAAACUUAUUAAAACUGUUACAAAACUAUAAAUUGUUGUGUUAUUUAAGUGAAAACAUUGUGAGAUGUGAUAUAUUUUAAAGCCUAGGAAGUUUCACAUAAACACAAAGUGAAGCUCUCAAAAGUCUAGCAACACAAAAACGAAGGCUGUAUAUCUGCAUUACAAUAGUAUGGGCCUAUUUUUCUGCUGGUGCUGAGCUGCACCAAAUUUACACCAAGAAACUUGGCGCAUGGUCUUUAAUUACAUAACCACAUACACCUCUACUCUGAUAUAACGCUGUCCUUGGGAGCCAAAAAACGUACCGCGUUAUAGGUGAAACGGUGUUAUAUCGAACUUGCUUUGCUCCGCUGGAGUGCGCAGCCCCGCCCCCGCAGCACUGCUUUACCGCGUUAUAUCCAAAUUUGUGUUAUAUCGGGUCGCGUUAUAUCGGGGUAGAGGUGUAGUAUUUUUAGACAAGAUGGCUACCAACUUUAGUUCCCAAGAGAGCUCCACUUUGCAACCUUCAUGUUCUUUUAAUUUGGAGGAGGGUGAGGGGGAGGUGGUGUAUGGAUUUUAAAAUGUAUCUGCUAUAG